rnacentral:rRNA from 1 species
UACGGAGGGUGCAAGCGUUAUCCGGAUUUACUGGGUGUAAAGGGUGCGUAGGUGGAUAAUUAAGUCAGUGGUGAAAUCUUCAGGCUUAACCUGGAAACUGCCAUUGAUACUAUUUAUCUUGAAUACUUUGGAGGUAAGCGGAAUAUGUCAUGUAGCGGUGAAAUGCUUAGAUAUGACAUAGAACACCAAUUGCGAAGGCAGCUUACUACACAGUAAUUGACACUGAGGCACGAAAGCGUGGGGAUCAAACAGG